CCUCCUUCCUCCUUCCUCCUUCCUCCAGGCCAGAAUGCACGCGAGAGACCGGCUGCAGGGCGGAAUCACGCUUUGUCUCAUCGCCGGCUUCUGCGGUGUGACACUGGUACCGAGAGACAGAGAGCCAGGCGACGGACCUCUUGGCGGUCGGGAAGAAUCACCUCGUCCGGGGGAACCGAAUGCACCGUUGUUGUUGUUGUUGUUGCCGGGGGCCCGUCAGCACGUUUACCUGCGCGGGAGGUUUGCCGGUCGAAGCAGCUCGGCUGCAGCGGCGAUUGAUGUGGAGGAGGCCUGAAGCGGAGGAAGAGGUGAGCGGCGCCGGCCCGGCCCGAUCAAGUGGGCCCCUUGCGUGGGAGGCUUCCCUCU
ensembl:lncRNA